rnacentral:rRNA from 1 species
AUUGAACGCUGGCGGCAGGCUUAACACACGCUAGUCGAGCGAGCGGCGGACGUGUGCGUAAUGUCUGGGAAACUGCUAGAAGGAGGGGGAUAACUACUGGAAACGGUAGCUAAUACCGCAUAACUUCAUCUUCGCCCAGAUGGGAGUAGCCAGUAGGUGGGGUAAUGGUAAACCUAGCCAACGAUCCCUAGCUGGUCUGACAGGAUGACAAGCCGCACUGGAACUGGGGCACGGUCCAGACUCCUACGGGAGGCAGCAGUGGGGAAUAUUGCACAAUGGGCGCAAGCCUGAUGCAGCAAUGAGGAGUGUGUGAAGAAGGCAUUCGGGUUGUGAAGCACUUUCAGCGAGGAGGCGUUACUCGCAGAGGAAGCAACGGCUAGCUCCGAGCCAGCCGCCGCGGUAAUUC